GAGACAGAGUUUACAAAGAGAGGAGGGAGACAGAGAGAGGAGGGAGACAGAGAGAGAGGAGGGAGACAGAGAGAGGAGGGAGACAGAGAUAGGAGGGAGAUAGAGAUAGUUCACAGGGAUCAUGGAGACAGAGAGAUAUAGAUCACAGGGAUCAUGGAGACAGAGAGAUAUAGAUCACAGGGAUCAUGGAGACAGAGAGAUAUAGAUCACAGGGAUCAUGGAGACAGAGAGAUACAGAUCACAGGGAUCAUGGAGACAGAGAGAUAUAGAUCACAGGGAUCAUGGAGACAGAGAGAUAUAGAUCACAGGGAUCAUGGAGACAGAGAGAUAUAGAUCACAGGGAUCAUGGAGACAGAGAGAUAUAGAUCACAGGGAUCAUGGAGACAGAGAGAUAUAGUUCACAGGGAUCAUGGAGACAGAGAGAUAUAGAUCACAGGGAUCAUGGAGACAGAGAGAUAUAGAUCACAGGGAUCAUGGAGACAGAGAGAUAUAGAUCACAGGGAUCAUGGAGACAGAGAGAUAUAGAUCACAGGGAUCAUGGAGUGUCAUUCAAGACAAAAACGAAUGGAGAGACUCCUUUAACUCCAUCCCUCCAUCCCUGGAGAAGAAAGAGCUCAAACGAAACAAAGGAGGAAGGACUAUAGGAGAUGGAUAAAAAGCCAAUCCACUUUCUUGGACACACAAUCCAGCCCUAAGCUACGUGUUAUUGGAGGAGAGCCAUGUGUGGAGAAGCUAGUGCCACAUCUAUCCAGGAGUAGAGAGACAGUACAACCGCUUGGGUCUUGGAUAAAUAGACCUCAUGCUACUUUCUACAUUUCUGCUUUUCUUUGGUUUCGCCCAACUGUUCUGUUUUAUGUUCCAUGAAAAAGGUUAACUGUAACCUGAGACAGAUUUUUGUGUUUUUGAAGUCAAUCUGGGUUGAGUUUUAGAAUUGGUUGUGCCUGGAGCAAAACGAAAAGAGAGUGGGGUGGAGGGAUGACUGGAUGGAGGAUGAAGGGGUAGAGGUGGUGAACUCUGACUUUGACUCUCCAAGUGCCUUGGAGCUCUCUCUCUAGGCCUGAUUGAACUGGGAGCUGAGACAUAGGCUGUGGCCCUAAUGGCACCCUAUUCCCUAUGUAGCACACUAUCAGGCUCUGGUCACAAGUACUGCACUACUAUAGGGAAUAGGGCUCUGGUCUAUAGUAGUGUACUAUAUAGGGAAUAGGGCUCUGGUCUAUAGUAAUGCACUGUAUAGGGAAUAGGGCUCUGGUCUAAAGUAGUGCACUAUAUAGGGAAUAGGGUUUGGGACUGGGCCAUAGUAUUACCUCUCCUGUCUGUGAGAGAGAACCACUCUCUCAAACCAACCACAUGGUUGUCACUAGUUACCACAGCCACAAAGUCAAAAUGGACUAUAUCGCAAAAAUUAUUAAUUUAAGGUUGUGUAUGAGGUUGUCAUUGUGGUUAAGGUUAUAGCUAAGGUUUUAAAAUAGAAUUGAAUCGGAUCACCCAUACGUAGAAUGUAUGCACACAUGACUGUAAGUCGCUUUGGAUAAAAGCGUCUGCUAAAUGGCAUAUAUUAUUAUUAUUAUUAUCAUUUGUAGAAAUAUCAAUAAUGUCCACUUUGUGGCUGUGUUAACUAGACAGAUUACUGUUUGUAGACUUUGUGUACAGAAACAUGAUUUUGUUCUUAUUUAAUAAAGGCUGAAUAACGUG